rnacentral:tRNA from 1 species
AGUAAAGUGCCUGAAAAAGGAUUAUCGUGAUAGGGUAAAAAAUGUAAUGUAUUUACCUUUACUA